GCCGACGGUGGUGGCAGAGGCAUGCGCAAGGAGGCUGGCGGCUAGGGGUUAGAAGACCUAGGUACGGUGCACCUAGGGUUUUUUACUGUUUAUUUUUUUGAUUCUGUUGGGCUAGGGUUGUUAGGUUUAUUUUGGGCUGUUCGUAAUUAUUUUGGACUAUGGGCCUUUUUUAUUUUGGGUUUUUUUAUUUAGUGUUUGGUUUUGUUUGGGUCAUAUUGGGCCCCAGGUAAAAAUGGGCCACUACAGCUGCCCCUCUUUGCUCAUUGUCGUGUAACGAGAAUGGAGCAAAGACUUCAAAAAUGACCAUUUUUGCC
rnacentral:lncRNA from 1 species